CCCUUCAUUCCACCGGAAUCUGUCGAGGCAGACACCAGAUUUCUGUGGAAUGGAAGCCCA
rnacentral:pre_miRNA from 1 species